rnacentral:misc_RNA from 1 species
GAUGAAGAACGUAGCGAACUGCGAUAAGUAAUGUGAAUUGCAGAAUUCAGUGAAUCAUCGAAUCUUUGAACGCACAUUGCGCCCAUUAGUAUUCUAGUGGGCAUGCCCGUUCGAGCGUCAUUAAUUCCACUUAAGCCCUGCUUAGUGUUGGGAAUCUACUCUAGUGGUGCUACCCUGGAGCUACCCCUGAAAGGGGGCUGGCCCGGUAGCUACCCUGUAGUUCCUCAAAGAUAGUGCGCGGAGUUGCGUGGUCCUCUGAGCUUAGUAACUAUACACCUAGCUUUUGAGUGUCCCGCGGCGCCUGCCGUUUAAACCCCAUCUUUUAAUGGUUGACCUCGGAUCAGGUAGGAAUACCCGCUGAACUUAAGCAUAUCAAUAAGCGGAGGA